rnacentral:rRNA from 1 species
GCAAGGGUGCGUAACACGUGGAGGUAAUUUGCCGUGAAGUCUGGGAUAACUUGCUGAAAGGGCGAUGCUAAUACCGAGAUGUGAUUUCUGGAAGAGCAUCUUCUGGAACUUAAUAGUCGGGGACCGCAAGGCCUGACGCUUCUCGAUAAGCCCGCGGUCUAUCAGCUAGUCGGUGAGGUAACGGCUCACCAAGGCUAAGACGGGUAGCUGGUCUGAGAGGACGACCAGCCACACUGGAACUGAGACACGGUCCAGACUCACCAUACGGGUGGCAGCAGUCGAGAAUUUUUCUCAAUGGGCGAAAGCCUGAAGGAGCGACGCCGCGUGGGGGAUGAAUGGCUUCGGCCCGUAAACCCCUGUCAUUUGCGAUCAAACCUUACGACCUAGCACGUCGUGAGCUGAUAGUAGCGGAAGAGGAAGGGACGGCUAACUCUGUGCCAGCAGCCGCGG